rnacentral:lncRNA from 10 species
ACCCCCAUCGUGUCCAUGAUUUCACAACAAAAACUGAAGCGGGUCUUGAUGCCAAGCAGUGAAGCCAGCCAGAGCCACAUGAUGAAAAAAGUCUCCAUCACCCAAACACCUUUAAAAGAAAACAAGAAAGCUCCUUUCUUCACAUGAGUGUGAGCAAGCACUAAACCUCUACAGUGCCAAGCAACUGAGAUUUAGGUACAAUGCCAGUACCCAAUCCCAUUCUCGUUCUCUUUCUGAUCGAGCUUCCCACAAUGUUGAUGCAGAAAUGGAUGGUGAAGUUGCCACUGUUAUCCAGGAGAAUCAGCACUACUGAGCCCUCACUACUCCGACUCCGGGAACUGGUUGCUCACCACGGAAGCAUCCUCCACCUAGGCUCUCCCUGAUUCCUGAACCCUUGCCCUGCCCAUCAGCAAACUGAUCACCGCAGGAACUCUGUCUACGCACUCCUCAUUAGGGUUUGGUGGUGGGCAAGUGCAGAAGAGGAUAAAGAGAACAUUUUUGAGCAUCCAUUAUGUGUGUAGUAUGCCAUAUGCUCCUUAUACAUCCUCUCAUCUUGAACAUCACCAAACCCCAUCAGGAAAAUAUCAGUAUCCUCACUCUGCGUAAGUGGAAACUUAACACUCACAUAGUUUACCAGCUGGUAAGUGGCAGAAUCUAGAUUCAAACUCACUCUACUGACUAUAAACCCAGUGAUGGUUCAACUCACCGCAAAGUCCUCCUGCACUGACACACACCCAUCCUACCUCCCUGCUGUCAUCUUAGGAUCUCCCUUGGAGUGAGGCUUCUGGAGAGGACAGUGUGGGAGCCUCUCUUUGGAAGCCAAGUCUUUUCACUGAGACCAGAGUGGGUGGAGGAUGUGUAACUGGCCUCUACAUUUAAAAUUUGGAACACAUUUUUUCCAUGGGAAAAAUAUGCAAAGAUGUUCCAUUUUUCAAAAUGUAUGCAAAACCACUUUGUAAACCAUCAAGAGGUACAUAAUAUGCCUAUAAGGAAUUACUAUUCUGCAGUACAUUAGCACUAUAAUUCCAACACGUUGUGGAUUAAAUAACCUUUUGUGAAGUAGUUGGAGAAUUUAACCACUGAGUGUUACAUUGUCUCAAAGGAAAAAUACAUUCCAAUAGCUAAACAACUGACUUACAACAGAUUUUUGGAACCCAAUCCGUUCAUAAACUGGGAACUGCCUGGAUUAGCAUGAAGAGGACACAUCAUCACCAUCUUCAUCAAGUAUUAUUUAUUAAGGGCAGAGCAUGGGGUGAGGGCUUCAGGGUAAAAGAAAAAAAGAAGGGAAGUGUUAAUCUAAUUUUUUAAAUGGCUACAAUUCCACAUCCCUGGUUGUGAAUGAACUCAAGCUGUUCCAAAACAACCCUCUCAUCUUUCUCCUUACUUCCUUCCCCAUUUCACUUAUCUUUUGCUCUCUUUUCUAUUUUCCUCUUACCAUUGUAUAUGUUUUUGUCCAUAUUCCACAUUUAUUCUCGUGUUAAAUAAACUCAUUUCACCACAUCCUUGCCAGCAUUUGUUUUUGCCUGUUUAAUCAGUAAUAACUGUACAUUUU